AUUGAACGCUGGCGGCAUGCUUUACACAUGCAAGUCGGACGGCAGCACAGAGAAGCUUGCUUCUUGGGUGGCGAGUGGCGAACGGGUGAGUAACAUAUCGGAACGUACCGAGCAGUGGGGGAUAACUAAUCGAAAGAUUAGCUAAUACCGCAUAUCUUCUGAGGAAGAAAGCAGGGGACCAUUUGGCCUUGCGCUGUUUGAGCGGCCGAUAUCUGAUUAGCUAGUUGGUGGGGUAAAGGCCUACCAAGGCGACGAUCAGUAGCGGGUCUGAGAGGAUGAUCCGCCACACUGGGACUGAGACACGGCCCAGACUCCUAAGGGAGGCAGCAGUGGGGAAUUUUGGACAAUGGGCGCAAGCCUGAUCCAGCCAUGCCGCGUGUCUGAAGAAGGCCUUCGGGUUGUAAAGGACUUUUGUCAGGGAAGAAAAGGGCGGGGUUAAUACCCCUGUCUGAUGACGGUACCUGAAGAAUAAGCACCGGCUAACUACGUG
rnacentral:rRNA from 1 species